GUUCCGGCUCGUUCUUGCCUCCUCUGUGGACACAGGGCAGGGACGCCCGGUCAUCAGCUGCGGCCGGGCCUGGGCGGCUGGGAGGGUGGGAGGCCCGCCCUCACCUGGGGCCCUGCGUCCUGCCAUUCUCCCUGUGCCCAGCCCGGGGAGGCCUCCUGCGUCCUGCCCGCACCCCGCACCCAGCGCAGGCCACAGAGGGCCAAGGGCCAAGGCGGGGCAGGGCCUGCGCUGGGCCGGCGCCCUCCCCCCGCCUUUCCUAGCAGGGCCUCCAGGCCACAGCAACAGGCAAAGCAGGCGAUUAGUGGGUGGAAAAGCUACUUACAUAUACCAUAUGUGUUUCUGAAUGUGCUCUAGCUACAAGGAAAGAGAAACAGGGAGUUAGUACGGACGAGGGACGGAAAGAGCCCACAUUAGGAGGGACAGCUCGUGGGGUAUGAGGCGGUGGCCUCUUGGGAACAGGGCAACGCUACCCUGGAAGGGCCAGCCCAGAGGGUGACCUGCUUCUGUCAAGUGGGCAUGUGCGGUCCCCACACCAGGCAGCCCUGGAGGAGGUCGGGACCAGCAGCUGGGGGCUACCUUUGGCUCUUGCCAGCCCCCACAGCUGCCGGGGGGCACUCAGCGGAACUAUUCACCCUGCCUGGAGCUUGCCCCAGCAGCAUCUGCAAGCAGGAUGGCUGUGAUGGGGCAGCACCAGUGCUUCUGUGUAACCUACAGCCAGGUCUCACCUACCUGUGCACACCCCACACUGGUACAAGUGCUCAUAUGCACCUGGACACACCUCCCCGCAGGUGCACAUGCCCUCACCCAACCACAUGAACCCUGGCAUGUGUCCACACCUGGGCACCCCCACACCCUUGAACACACACCUGGGCAUGUGCCUACAUCUGUGCACCCACACACCUGAACACAAGCCAACACCUGGGCACCCCCGCACACCUGAACACUCACCUGGGCACCCACACGGGCAUAUGCCCACAUUUGUGCACCCACACCUGAACACAAGCCGACACCUGGGCACCCACACACACCUGUGCACAUAUCCACAAACCUGGGCACCUACUCACACACCUGGGUGCCCACACAUCUGGGCACACGCCCACCCCCGCGCCCCCCCGCCACGCUCUGGGGCCGCCCCGCUCCGAGGGCACGCACCGUGAGGCGGCGUGCGGCGUCCACUUCGAUCAUGCCCCGCAGCAGGCUCUGGCAGUCGGGCGGAAUAAAGUGCGGCAUGUGGAA